rnacentral:misc_RNA from 1 species
UAUGAAGAACGUAGCGAAAUGCGAUACGUAGUGUGAAUUGCAGAAUUCAGUGAAUCAUCGAAUCUUUGAACGCACAUUGCACCUCUCGGUAUUCCGGGAGGUAUGCCUGUUCGAGCGUCAUUUGUACCCUCAAGCUCUGCUUGGUGUUGGGUGUUUGUUCCGCCUCUGUGUGUGAACUCGCCUCAAAACAAUUGGCAGCCGGCGUACUUGUUUCGGAGCGCAGCACAUUUUGCGAUCCAGAUCAACGUACAGCGGCAUCCAAGAAGCCUUAUUUAACGCUCUUGACCUCGGAUCAGGUAGGGAUACCCGCUGAACUUAAGCAUAUCAAUAAGCGGAGGA